rfam:Maricaulis maris MCS10, complete genome.
CCGGGUGGUUAUUGCAGGGGGACCGCACACGUUCCCAUCCCGAACACGACCGUUAAGACCCCGAGCGCCGAUGGUACUGCAUCUUAAGGUGUGGGAGAGUAGGUCGCUGCCCGGU